rnacentral:misc_RNA from 1 species
GCAAAUCCUAAUGCAUUUUCAAAGGACGUCCUGGACGAGGAAGAUGAUGUCAGGAAACAAGAUGAAGUCAAGACGGAAGAAACACAAAAACAAGAAUAUAGAAUCAUCCCUCCUAUUUGGUCUGUAGAAUCAAAGAAUACUAAGCGUACUAAGCUCUAGAAGACUGAUCGUUAACCUUCGUUUAUUUGUUCUUCCAUUCUUGGAAGCCCUGGCCUGGUAGUACAAUACCAAUUACUACUACAGUAACUAGCAGAGUACUGCCAGAAAAAUCUUUUCCCUUCUGAUCUGCAUGAUCAAAACUUUUUAAGUUCAUUAGCAUGGAACUAUAGACACUAGACCAAAGCUUCUAGUAAAAGCUUAGAUUGAUUCAAAUUUUCAUGUUAUUACCUACUUUUCAGUGUUUU